UCCUGCACGGGAGCCUGCUCG
rnacentral:misc_RNA from 1 species